rnacentral:lncRNA from 1 species
UCACAGCAUCCCUGAGACACAGCUAGGGGAGCCAUUGCUCUGCCCACUGAAUGGAAGGGGAAACUGAAGUGCAGCCUCCUGAACUGAUUCUCCAAAGAUUACAUAACUGAUCAGUGGGAGAAUGGAACCACCCCUCCUCAGUAUAAGAAGCAUGCUGUGAUAUUGAGUCAAUUGGUUGCCCAAUCACAGACAUCUUUCACUGACAGAGUAACAGGUGUGUGGGCUUUGAGCAGUCGCUACACCUUCCCUCUUCAGGCAUGAUGAGAGGAUUCCUGCAGCGUUUUGCAAGAGAGAUGAAGUUUCAUCAUGUUGUCCAGGCUGAUAUCCAAC